rnacentral:rRNA from 1 species
CCUACGGGAGGCAGCAGUGGGGAAUCUUAGACAAUGGGCGCAAGCCUGAUCUAGCCAUGCCGCGUGAGCGAUGAAGGCCUUAGGGUUGUAAAGCUCUUUCGUGGGGGAAGAUAAUGACGGUACCCCAAGAAGAAGCCCCGGCUAACUCCGUGCCAGCAGCCGCGGUAAUACGGAGGGGGCUAGCGUUGUUCGGAAUUACUGGGCGUAAAGCGCACGUAGGCGGAUCGGAUAGUCAGAGGUGAAAUCCCAGGGCUCAACCUUGGAACUGCCUUUGAAACUCCCGGUCUUGAGGUCGAGAGAGGUGAGUGGAAUUCCGAGUGUAGAGGUGAAAUUCGUAGAUAUUCGGAGGAACACCAGUGGCGAAGGCGGCUCACUGGCUCGAUACUGACGCUGAGGUGCGAAAGCGUGGGGAGCAAGCAGGAUUAGAUACCCUGGUAGUCCACGCCGUAAACGAUGAAUGCCAGUCGUCGGCAGGCAUGCCUGUCGGUGACACACCUAACGGAUUAAGCAUUCCGCCUGGGGAGUACGGCCGCAAGGUUAAACUCAAAUGAAAUUGACGG